rnacentral:tmRNA from 1 species
GGGGGUGUACUGGAUUCGACUACUAGUUGGAGACGGGAUAAGCAUGUCGCAGGCUCGUCUGCGUUAAAACGGAACGCUAAAAUUAAAUGCAAACAACAAUUCAAUGAAAUCCACAAACAUGGGUUUCGCCCUCGCUGCAUAAUAUAGUCAGCGUGUCGCCCCGAGGUUUUCUGUUCCCUUGGCAAGCGGCAUCAGAAAAACAGACAACGCCAGCCUAGCGUCCUGUAAGUUGGUUGUCAUCAAGGACUCAUCAAUCUGAGGCUCGCCCACGUGCCAAAGUGCGAAAAAUCUAAACGUGAGAUAAGCAUGUAGAAAGUCACGGGGAAGGCGUUGAGGA